UUUCCGUAGGUGAUCCUGCGGAAGGAUCAUUAUUGAAAUAAACUGAUGGGUUGCUGCUGGUUCUCUAGGGAGCAUGUGCACACUUGUCAUCUUUAUAUCUCCACCUGUGCACCCUUUGUAGAUCUGGAUAUCUUUCUGGAUGCGUAGCAUUCAGGUUUGAGCAUUGACUUCAAUGUCUUUGCUUACAUUUUCAGGUCUAUGUAUUUUUCAUAUACCCCAAUGUAUGUUAUAGAAUGUAAUAAACAGGCCUUUGUGCCUAUAAAUCCAUACAACUUUCAGCAACGGAUCUCUUGGCUCUCGCAUCGAUGAAGAACGCAGCGAAAUGCGAUAAGUAAUGUGAAUUGCAGAAUUCAGUGAAUCAUCGAAUCUUUGAACGCACCUUGCGCUCCUUGGUAUUCCGAGGAGCAUGCCUGUUUGAGUGUCAUUAAUAUAUCAACCUCCUCAGCUUUUGCUUGUUGAGUGUUGGAUGUGGGGGUAUUUUUGCUGGCUCUCUCUUUUUGAGGUCGGCUCCCCUAAAAUGCAUUAGCGGAACAAUUUGUUGACCGUUCAUUGGUGUGAUAACUAUCUACGCUAUUGACGUGAGGCAGGUUCAGCUUCUAAUAGUCCAUUGACUUGGACAAAUUUCAUUAAUGUGACCUCAAAUCAGGUAGGACUACCCGCUGAACUUAAG
rnacentral:rRNA from 1 species